rnacentral:rRNA from 1 species
GGUGGGCAUCAGUCUUGCAUUGGAUUGAGAACAAUGUACAACUCUUAUCGAUAAGCCAUUGGAGGGCAAGUCUGGUGCCAGCAGCCGCGGUAAUUCCAGCUCCAAUAGCGUAUAUUAACGUUGUUGCAGUUAAAAAGCUCGUAGUUGAAGUGUGGGUGGUGCUGUCUGAAUGACUUCGGUUAGUCAGAUGAUCACUACCCCCUUCCAGUAUCCAAUAGUGGGUAUUCAGUUACUUACUAUUGUGUGUUGGUCCUUUACUGUGAGAAAAUUAGAGUGUUCAAAGCAGGCGUUUGCUUGAAUAGAUAAGCAUGGAAUAAUAAUUGAAGGCUUUCGUGUUCGAUUUGAUUGGUUUGUUCAUGGAAGCAAGGUUAAAAGGAACAGUUGGGGGUAUUCAUAUUCACUAGUUAGAGGUGAAAUUCUCGGAUUUAUGGAAGAUGAACAUGGCGGAAAAAGCAAAAA